rnacentral:rRNA from 1 species
AAAGGAAUAGACGGGCACCCGCACAAGCGGUGGAGCAUGCUGUUUAAUUCGAAGAUACGCGAAAAACCUUACCUGGGCUUGACAUCCUAUUGACCGGUAUAGAAAUAUACCCUUCCCUUCGGGGACAAUGGUGACAGGUGGUGCAUGGUUGUCGUCAGCUCGUGUCGUGAGAUGUUUGGUUAAGUCCAAUAACGAGCGCAACCCUCAUCCUUAAUUGCUAACAUUAAGUUGAGAACUUUAAGGAGACUAUCGGUAAUAAACCGGAGGAAGGUGGGGAUGACGUCAAAUCAUCAUGCCCCUUACGUCCAGGGCUACAGGCGUGCUACAAUGGCCAAUAUAAUAAGAAGCAAUACCGUGAGGUGGAGCAAAUCUACAAAGUUGGUCUCAGUCCGGAUUGGAGUCUGCAACUCGACUCCAUGAAGUUGGAAUCGCUAGUAAUCGUGAAUCAGAAUGUCACGGUGAAUACGUUCCCGGGUGUUGUACACACCGCCCGU